rnacentral:rRNA from 2 species
UUAUAUGGAGAGUUUGAUCCUGGCUCAGGACGAACGCUGGCGGCGUGCCUAAUACAUGCAAGUCGAGCGGACGGAUGGGAGCUUGCUCCCUGAAGUCAGCGGCGGACGGGUGAGUAACACGUGGGCAACCUGCCUGUAAGACUGGGAUAACUCCGGGAAACCGGGGCUAAUACCGGAUAACUCUUUUCCUCACAUGUGGAAAAGCUGAAAGAUGGUUUCGGCUAUCACUUACAGAUGGGCCCGCGGCGCAUUAGCUAGUUGGUGAGGUACGGCUCACCAAGGCCACGAUGCGUAGCCGACCUGAGAGGGUGAUCGGCCACACUGGGAC